rnacentral:rRNA from 1 species
UACGAAGGGGGCGAGCGUUGUUCGGAAUUACUGGGCGUAAAGCGUGCGUAGGCGGUUUGAUAAGUUUGAUGUGAAAGCCCAGGGCGUCAACCUUGGAACUGCAUUGAAUACUAUUAGACUAGAGUGGUGGAGAGGAAAGCAGAAUUCCCAGUGUAGAGGUGAAAUUCGUAGAGAUUGGGAGGAAUACCAAUGGCGCAGGCAGCUUUCUGGACACACACUGACGCUGAGGCACGAUAGCGUGGGGAGCAAACAGG